rnacentral:rRNA from 1 species
AAGGGGCAGUAAUGUAUGGGUAACCUACCCGGGGGUCGUGGAUAGCCGUCCUAACGGACGGGUAAUACAUGGCGAUUCAGCGAGGAGACAUCUUCUUGCUGGGAAAGAAUUUCGCCUCCGGAGGGGCUCAUAUCGUAUUAGCUAGUUGGUGAGGUAACGGCUCACCAAGGCGAAGAUGCGUAGCGGGUGUGAGAGCACGACCCGCGCCACUGGCACUGAGACACUGGCCAGACACCUACGGGUGGCUGCAGUCGAGGAUCUUCGGCAAUGAGCGCAAGCUUGACCGAGCGACGCCGCGUGGAUGAUGAAGGCCUCCGGGUUGUAAAAUCCUGUCGAGGGGGAUCAAGAGCAAUUUGAGUGAUCCCUGGAGGAAGCACGGGCUAAGUUCGUGCCAGCAGCCGCGGUAAGACGAACCGUGCAAACGUUAUUCGGAAUCACUGGGCAUAAAGGGCGCGUAGGCGGCUUUCUAAGUCAGGGGUGAAAUCCGGCAGCUCAACUGUCGCAGUGCCUUUGAUACUGGAGAGCUCGAGGGAGGUAGGGGUCUGUGGAACUUCCGGU